rnacentral:rRNA from 1 species
CCUACGGGGGGCUGCAGUAAGGAAUAUUGCACAAUGGGGGAAACCCAGAUGCAGCAACGCCGCGUGAGCGAAGAAGGCCUUCGGGUCGUAAAGCUCUUUUCUGGGGGAUGAGGAAGGACGGUACCCCAGGAAUAAGUCUCGGCUAACUACGUGCCAGCAGCCGCGGUAAAACGUAGGAGGCGAGCGUUAUCCGGAUUCACUGGGCGUAAAGGGCAAGUAGGCGGUUGUCUAAGUUGGGCGUGACAACUCCCGGCUCAACUGGGAGAGGUCGUUCAAUACUGGAUGACUGGAGGGCAGGAGAGGAAAGUGGAAUUCCUGGUGUAGCGGUGGAAUGCUCAGAUACCAGGAGGAACACCAGUGGCGAAGGCGGCUUUCUGGCCUGCACCUGACGCUGAGAGGCGAAAGCUAGGGGAGCGAACGGGCUUAGAUACCCGUGUAGUC